GCCGAUGUAGCUCAGUUGGUAGAGCAACGCAUUCGUAAUGCGUGGGUCGGGGGUUCAAAUCCCUCCAUCGGCACCA
rnacentral:tRNA from 1 species